UAGAUGUUUCAAAGCCCAGGUAGCUGGUUU
rnacentral:piRNA from 1 species